rnacentral:lncRNA from 1 species
AGAAUUUACUUCCUGUUAAAUGGAUGGCAUUGGAAAGUUUACUUCACGGACGUUUCACAACAGCCAGUGAUGUGUAGGUUUAUAUGUUCAUUCUAUCAUUCAAAUAUGUUUUAAAUUUUUUUUGAGGUGAUGUAAAAAUAAGCCUAGUGGUCUCAGGACGUCGCUUCUUAACUUUCUUGUGUAAAUAUUUUUUCAUCAUUUCUGAGUUUAAUGGUGUCCUCGAAUUAACGCUCCAUUUCUUAAAAAGUAGAAAUAUACCGCCAAUGCUAUAUGCCACCAGCCAAAAUUGCAGUCAGAAGAAUAUACAGCAUGAGCUCCACCUUUGAAUUUACUAUAGGAGUAAAUUCUUAAACACGUCCGAAUUUAUCAUUAUGGAAAAUUUGCGGCACCUAACACUUACCCUAACCCCAAACCUAACACUCAGCCCUAACUCUUUUAACUUUUUAAAUUUUUUUAACUUUUUUGAAAAUCUAACUUUUUAAACUUUUUUUGCUUUUUAAAACUUUUUUAAUACUUUUUUAAAUUAAUUUAAACUAUUUUUUUGAAAAUCUUGAAAAACACAUUUAUAGGCCUACAGUUUUUUAAAAAUAGGAAAAUCUGCGAUUUAGGCCGUAUUUUUGGACAAGUAUUACAGCAUGUUGAAAAACAAAAAGCGUCCCACUUAUGUAAAACAAUAUCUAAAGAGAAAAGUUUCCACAAAAGUUAUAUCCAACUGGUGUUGCUAUUGCAACAAUGACGAUCCAAAAUGGCGGAUAUAAUUUAACGCAUGAACGACGUCGGUGAUCUCCAAAUUUUAUUUCAUAAAAAGAUUGCUCUUAGUACACUAAAAAAUGUUGACAAGUAUUUUAAAAAAUUCUGUUGAGCCAAAUUUUUGGCUAACUACAUUAAUCAGUAGCUCAUGAUGCAUGUGUAUUCAUUGAUAUAGAUGGAGUUACGGCAUUCUUCUUCAUGAAAUUGUGACUCUAGGUAAGAUAUACACUGUAGCAGAGAAUACCGAUGGUAACAAGCAGCUUUUGUACAUGAAUAAUGAGUUCGUAUUUUUUGCAAUAUAUAAUGUAAAGAUUUGAUUUGCAUAGUUAACAAACACAGUUCUCAAUCGAUAAUUUUUUAAAGUUACUGUAGCACUGUCUUAUGGUAACGCAUUUCCUUCGUUAACCGUGUUUCUGACUAUUCCAUACAUUUAGGAGAAGAGCCAUAUAAAAAUAUUUCUCCAUAUAAUAUUGCCAUUCACGUGGGAUCUGGAUGUCGAAUGUCGCAGCCAUCGCAAUGUUCUGAUGAACUGUAAGUUUCCCAGUCAAGAAGAAUUAUAUCGUCUAUGUUAAUUUGCAUUAUAUUUAACGUUAUUACAAAAGUUCAUACCAUUUAUAUAGUGAGAAUCAAUUUUUUCAUGUUGGUUUCGCAGGGUAUGCCUAACUCCCAAGUCACCUGAACUAGAUUAAAGGUGAUCUACAGUCCGAUCUGCGCAUGUGCACAAAUGAGCCCACUUUUUAUGAUACAAACAGUUUAACUAUGUUUUGAGUUCUUGAAAAGCCUGAUUGUUGUUUCUUGAUCAUUUAUUAUACUCUAGAAGCUUGAAAAUAUAAAUAGUUGUCGAAUAAAGCUCAAUAUUUUGGACACAAAAAUGCAAACAAAAGCUUUGUUUACAUACGGACUGUAGAUCACCUUUAAGUAAAAUAAUCAAAUAAUAUUUGAACAAAUUGCAUUCACGAUCCAACGUUAACACAUAUACAGUCAUGCGGUUUCAUCAGCGUGCAUAUCUAACAAGUCUAUCACACACCAACAACAACUUUUUGCUCAAAGGCGUUGUUUGCCUGAAGCAUGGGACGUUAAUACUUAUCGUCAUCCUUGGAAUACGUGACUGUAAAUUAGGGAUACGUCAAACUUUGGCUGACUAUUAGCGUUUUCUAUUUGUUACUCAUUUCAUAUUGUUCUACUUUGAACCUAUUAGGUAUGAAAUAAUGAGAAAUUGUUGGAAAAUUGAACCAAGCGAAAGACCCACAUUUGAAGAUUUGCACGAAUCCCUUCAUGGCAUGUUAAUGAGUGAGGAGGUAUUGUUUAUC